UUUUCAGCGUAACUGGCAUCAGUUAGUUUUUGGUUUUGCCCUUUACGGAAGUUUAGAAAAGUAUUCGUCGUAGAAAUGAACUUCAAGUUGUUCGCACUUCUUUUUGCAGCUUUGUUGGCUAUGACACAGUUCACUAAUGCAGCCGAAGCGGAUAACACAAUGGAGGAUAUGAUUAACAAGAGAGAGGCAUUAAUUCCGCCAAUGUGUGUCACCGAUCCAUGUCCCGGCCGAUAGGAAUCCACGGCACAAUCGGCCGAGGAAAACGAAUCUAAACCUAACGUGAAUGGAAGAAACGGGGACCGGUUGAAGAAAGGAUAAUGGCCAGCUGAGUGUAACGUUUGACCCACUUGGAGGAUAUUAAAUGAUCUUUCGAGGCAUCGUCAAUAAAAGAUUCAAUGCUGUUACA